AAAAACUUAAUUUUUAGGUUUCCGUGUCUGAUGUUUGACCGUCCGUCUUAUAUAAAAUUUUUGCAUGAUUAGAAUUUUCAUUAUUGUUAAAUGAUAAAACAUGAAUAAAACUUUAUACAUGGCUUAUUUUUUAAUUUUUUUUAUAAUUUUUUAAAAUAAGACGAACGAUCAAACGUUAGACACGGAAAUUCAGGAAUUAAG
rnacentral:pre_miRNA from 1 species